GAGAACUGCUUUUGAGCAAUAAAUCAACCAGUGAGGUAGACUCUUGUGGUAUCACCUUUCAACAUGGUCAAGCUAUGGAAACGUGAUUUUAAUUUCUCAGGUUUUUUGUUUGUUUGUUUUUGUUUUUGUUUUUAAUCUGCCAGAUGGAGACCAUGCCAUUGCUAGUCUACCUUGAAAGACAGAUGUGAAGAAUGAAGUCAGGGGCUUUGCAGGAAGGUGAUAUAUCCCACCUCAUGAAAUCAGGCUUCACCACAAGAUUGCUUUGACCAAGGGGACGUGAGUAGAAGUUUGAAGAACCACAGACUGGUCCAUCACCUUGUUUCUUAUCCCUCUGACAUAAGCAAUGUCCCAGACUGGGGCUGUUCUGUUAGCCUGGCUUCCAGAAUGAAGAGAGCUGAUCUACAUGGCAUAUGUAAGAUAAAUAAACCUUUGUUAUUACAAACCACUGAAA
rnacentral:lncRNA from 10 species